rnacentral:lncRNA from 1 species
UUUCUCUCUCUUCUCUCCCUUCUCUCUAAAAUCAAGCUAUUGCGCCGCCGCCGCCCCACACCGCCUUCGCCCUUCUCUCCUUGAGCAUUAGUCCCGUCAUCGCCUUACCCCGUCGGCGCCGCCACCCGUCGUCCUCACUGCCUCUUUUCCUUAGCUUGUUAAGGUUAGAAUUUAAUUUUAGUUUUUUUUCAAUUCUAGUAAUAUUUUAUUUGUUAUAAAUUAGUAUAUUGUUUUAGUUUGAUGAAUUAUGUUAGUCAAUUGCUAACUUCUAUAUUUGAUUAUUGUUAGUUAGGAGAGAAUUGGAGAUUUUUGAUUUUAGGGUUUUCUUCUAAAUUGUUUUAAAAAAAAAAAUAUAAUUGUGAAUUGAGUAUUAGAAGUUAGAACUAACAAAUAAUUAGAAGUUAGAAGUUAGAAGUUAGAUUAGUUGCAUUUUCCAACUUUGAAAUUCUUGAAUUUUGUAUGUUUGACGGUUGAAGUUAGAAAAACAUUGAAUUGUAUAUGAAAGUUAGAUUACUUUGAAGUUACAAAAAUAUUAGUAUAUGAAGUCGAAAUUAGAUUAGUUGAAUUUUCAACUUAGAAGUUCUUGAAUUUUAUUUUUUUAAAAGUUGAAGUUAGAAAAAUAUUAGAUUGUACAUGAAAGUUAGAUUACUUUAAAGUUAGAAAAAUAUUGGAUAUAUAAUAUAUGAAAGUUGAAAUUAGGUUACUUGAAUUCUUGAACUUAGAAAUUCUUGAAUUUGAAGUUUAUAUAGAAUUAAUUUUAGAAAUUAGACAUGAACUUGAAUUUUUGUAGGAUUUUAGAACUUCAUAAGGUUGUGAAUGUUAGGAAUCUUGAAUUAUUGUAGGAUUUUAGAACUUUAAGUUGUGAACUUUUGAGAACUUAAAUUUAGAGUUUAAUUUUAGUUUUUUUUUCAAUUCUAGUAAUUAUAUUUGAUUUCUUAGUUUGUAUAUUUUUUUAGUUUGAAGAAUUGUGUUAUUCAAUUGUUAAUUUGUACAUUUGAUUAUUGUUAGUUAGGGAGAGAAUUGAAGAUUUUAGAUUUUAGGAUUAGUUUUCUUUUAAAUUGAGGAUUUUUAAAUAUGAUUGUAAAUUAAGUAUUAGAAGUUAGAACUAACAAAUAAUUAGAAGCUAGCCGAGAAUUGAAGCUUUUAGAUUUUAGGAUUAGUUGUCUUUUAAAUUGAGGAUUUUUAAAUAUGAUUGUAAAUUAAGUAUUAGAAGUUAGAACUAACAAAUAAUUAGAAGUUAGAAGUUAGAGAUUAGUUGAAUUUUUCAAUUUGUCAUUGUAUUUGUGCUUAUAUAUUAUAUUGUUGUUGAAAAUUGGGUUACUUGAAUUAUAUUCUUGAACUUAGAAAUUCUAGAAAUUAGAUAUGAACUUGAAUUUUUGUAGGAUUUUAGAACUUCAUAAGGUUGUGAAUGUUAGGAAUCUUGAAUUAUUGUAGGAUUUUAGAACUUUAAGUUGUGAGUGAACUUUGGAAAUCUUGAAUUAUUAUAGGAUUUUAGAACUUUAGGUUGUGAACUUUAGAAAUCUUGAAUUAUUGUGGGACUUUAAAACUUUAAGUUGUGAACUUUAGAGAACUUGAAUUUUUGUAGGAUUUUAGAACUUUAUAAUAUUGUGAGCGUUAGAAAUCUUGAAUUCUUGUAGGAUUUUAGAACUUUAAGUUGUGAACUUUAGAGAACUUGAAUUUUUGUAAGAUUUUAAAACUUUAGGGUGUGAAACGUUAGAAAUCUUGAAUUAUUGUAGAAUAUUAAACUUUAGGUUGUNNNNNNNNNNNNNNNNNNNNNNNNNNNNNNNNNNNNNNNNNNNNNNNNNNNNNNNNNNNNNNNNNNNNNNNNNNNNNNNNNNNNNNNNNNNNNNNNNNNNNNNNNNNNNNNNNNNNNNNNNNNNNNNNNNNNNNNNNNNNNNNNNNNNNNNNNNNNNNNNNNNNNNNNNNNNNNNNNNNNNNNNNNNNNNNNNNNNNNNNNNNNNNNNNNNNNNNNNNNNNNNNNNNNNNNNNNNNNNNNNNNNNNNNNNNNNNNNNNNNNNNNNNNNNNNNNNNNNNNNNNNNNNNNNNNNNNNNNNNNNNNNNNNNNNNNNNNNNNNNNNNNNNNNNNNNNNNNNNNNNNNNNNNNNNNNNNNNNNNNNNNNNNNGUUGUGAACUUUAGAAAUCUUGAAUUAUUGUAGGAUUUUAAACUUUUGAUUGUGAACUUUAGGAAUCUUGAUUUAUAGAAUUUAUGAACUAAUUAUUAGGUUGAACUUUAGAAAUGUUGAUAAAAUAUAGUCUUUAUGAACUAUUUAAUUAAGCUUGAACAUAAGGUGCACUGCUUUCCCUUUCGUUUUACAAUCCUUGGAGCUCAACAUAUCUGGGCAUUGCUAAUUGGUGCUAUGAUAUGGCAUUCUUCAACCUCACCCCAAUGGCAACUCUCGAGUAUCAGAUUAUUAGACUACUUAUUGGCUCCAACCUUUUUAGUUUUUCAAAUACAUAAAAUCUGAGGGAAUGUUUAAUAAUUUCUCCAACCUUUUUAAUCUUGCAAAUGAAAAGGUAUAUCAGUUCUAUAUGAUAAAGUCGAAGGGUAUAUUAGGCUUUUUUUCCAAAAUAAAAUGAGGAAAGCUAAAACUUCUCUUCCUAAAAUUUAAUGGGGUAACUUUGUAAAUAGUAUAAUAAUCACUUGUAUCAGAAAAGAAAAAGAAGUGUAUCUCUUGAAAGAGAUUUUGUGCGUUAGAAAAACCGAAAAGAUUAGAGAAAUUACUAAACAUUCUACGUCCCCACCUCGUUAUAAAAGUGUCUCACAUAUAUUCUUACCAUUAUAAAACUGGCUCACAUAUACCAUAUUGUUACAAAAGUGGCUCAAAGAUAACAUUUUCAUCUAAUGAUAGAAAAAAAUAUCAUUUUAAAUUUAUUUUUUUAUUUUUUAUUUUAAGAAAAUUCAUGUAGAGGUAUAUAUGAUUCUUCUAGCAAAGUUUAUGGGUAUAUUUGAUAUUUUUCACGCAUGCAUUAUUUUUUUACCUAUUUGAUUAUCAUUAUUUGAGUUUCUUAUUCUUAUUUAAUUUUUUUCUUUCAUUCUUUAUUGUAAAUAUAAUAGAAAUAUAAAAAAAAGUUUGAAUGAAAAAAGAAAAAUAAAGAUUUUUUUUAAACAUAUUUCUUUUAUGGCAAUAUUGUAAUUAUUAUUGUACCUUAUAUUUGGGACAUCUAUAUAAAAUUUUACAAGAAAAUUAUUGAAAAUAAAUAAAUUUGAAUAUCAAAAUAAUAAAUUUAAAUAGUCGUUGAAAAAUGUAACGAUCGGGUUCCGUCGUUAUAGAAAAGCCAACGGGGAAAAAUUUUGGGCCGAAAAACUUUUUUGUAGUAACUUGAGAUUUCCCAACCUAGUCCAGAUUUAGACGAAAUCGGAGUCUGUGAAGUCUAGGGAAAUCUGGUAGCAAUUGGGUGAUCUAAUUAUGAAUUCGAUCACAUGAGUAGAUAGAUAAGUCGUUAAGGAACCCAUACGACUUUACGAAAUUGAAUUCGGGUGAGUAGAACUCCCAAAACUGAUCUUGGCGUGAAAUGGGUAGUUUCUGAGUGUCGUUGGUUGAAGGUGUAUUGUGAAAUUGGGGUAUUGGAAUUAUUAAAUUAGCUCACUGUUCCGUGCAAGCCACUACAACGGGAAUUUGUGUCUUCAAGGCGGGGCCGCUGCAGCGGGGUGGUACUGCUGUGGCGGGGCAGACACGACUUAAAGUCGGAAAUAAACUCCAAAACAUCUUAUUCUGCAAUUUUCGAACUUGAGAGCUAAGGAACGAACCUAGGGCCUUUCUUGACAGUUUUCCACUAUUCUUGAGGCUAAAGGUAAGAUUUUCACUCACCGAAUCCAUUUUUCGAUCCGUAGAACGUAAUCUAAUGGGUAAUUAUCGAUGAGGAAGAGUUUUGAUCUGAGAAUUAUGGUGGAAAAUGCCCUAAUUUGGAUAUUGGGAUCAUGGGUUUGAUCUAGGGUUGAUAGGAUUGUUAGUAAUCCGAGUAAUUAGUGAUUGUUUAUUGAUUUUCAUGUUAUUUGAUUGUUUGUAGACCAAGAACAAGCGGAAUGAAUCCAUAAAGGGAAGAAUCAAGUUUCUUAGGGGAUUCAAGCUUUGUUCGAGGUAGGUGCUGGUUGUGAUUUUAUGAUUGUGUGAUGUAUGUGUGUUCUUGCUUCAUUAUGAUACAUGUAUGUAUGCGAAUGUUGCAUUAUUGAUCACAUUAAUUGUAAAUGAGGAUAGAUGAAUGAUGAAUGCCAUGAAUCAUGACUUGAUUGUAUGAUUAUGAGAAUGUACUUAAUUGUGAUUUUGGCUUGUUGAAUGGAUCGGGUGUUGCAUUCCGACACACUAACUUGGAUCGGUUGCCACGUUCUGACAUAAAUAUGGGAUUGGUUGCCACGUUCCGGCAUAAAUAUUGGAUCGGAUACCACGUACCGAUAUGGUAAUAGUUUGGGUUUGGGUUCCAUGAGAGGACCAUUGACUUGACAUAACUGUGUAAUUGAGAAUUGUGAACUUGAUCGUUAUUCAACUUUACCCCCACUCUCUUGGACCUAAUUUCAUGCUCUGUUUCUAGAGCAAUAUGUGCCUAGGACUUUGAGAGAUCACAAAAGGAUGAGUUCAUGGCUUUGGAGCAAGGUGGUAUGUCUGUGACUGCUUAUGAGGCCAAGUUCCAUGCCUUGUCUAGAUAUGCUACCCAAUUGGGGACUACUAAGGAGGAAAUGAUCUAUUUAUUUAUUAGAGGACUAAAUUCUGAGUUGUAGGUAUUAUCUGUUCAUAUGACCUCUGCAUGGAGAAGCUUUAAUGAGGUAACCGACUUUGUUAAGACAGUGGAGGGGGUGAGGCGAGAGGAUCAGGCUAAGACAUUGGCUAAAAGGGCCAAGAACUCGGGUAACUUUCAAGGUUCUUAUUCCAAAGGGCCAGGGAGGCCAACACUUGCAGCCAUGCCAUAUUAGUCCGCUAUGCCCGCUUCUACAGUUAAUUACUUGGGAACUCCACCUCAUAAUUUGAUUCAGGAUAGCCAGGGAGCCUCACCUUCGGCGGGUAACAUGGCAUCUUUUGAUCGUACAUGUUACAACUGUGGAGAACCUGGGCAUAUGAGGAGAGAUUGUCCUCAUCCACGUAUGAUGGAGUCCGCGCAGCAGCAGACUAGAGCAGUGGUACCGUGGGAAAUGGUAAUAAUGGUCGAGGGCGUCCACAAGGUGGGCGAAGAGGUAAUCAGGGAGGCCGUGGGGGUAGAAGAAAUGGUAACGUAGGCAGAAGUGCAGCGUAGCCAGGCAGGAAAGUCGCCCGUCAAGAUGAUAGGGCUUAGUGUUAUGCCUUUCCGGGCAAUAAUGAGGCAAAGGCGUCUGACGCAGUGAUCACAUGUACUAUUCUUCUCUGUGACCGGAUGGCUAAUGUGUUAUUUGAUUCGGAUUCUACUAAUUCUUAUGUAUCCGUGCGAUUUGCCUCAGAAUUUGCUAUGAUUUGUGAUAUACUUGAUGCCCCCAUCCAUGUUUCUACCCUAGUUGGAGAGUCUGUCAUAGUUAUCCAUGUCUAUCGUGCUUGUACAAUUUUGUUUAUGAGUUUUCAGACUUGGGCUGAUUUGGUGAUUUUGGAUAUGACUGAUUUUGCUAUUAUAUUAGGCAUGACUUGGUUGUCCCCUAUUAUGUUGUGCUUAAUUGUAAUACUAAGUCUGUAACUCUACAAAUUCCGGGAAGGGAAAAGUUAGAGUGGGAAGGGGUGUACAAGCCUAAGCAAGCUAAGAUCAUAUCCUCCAUUCAGGCAAGUAAACUGGUAGAGCAAGAUUGUUUGGCUUAUUUGGCUCAUAUUCGGGAUAUUGAGGUUGAGUGUCUAUCUAUUGAGUCUAUUCCUGUGGUGUUAGAAUUUAGAGAAGUGUUUCCUAAUGAUUUGCCUGGUAUGCCUCUGGAUAGAGAUAUAGAUUUCUGCAUUGAUUUACAACCUGGUACUCGUCCCAUUUUUGUCCCUCCAUAUCGCAUGGCUCCGAUAGAAUUAAGAGAGCUUAAGGCUCAAAUCUAAGAGCUUCUUGAUAAGGGAUUUAUUCGUUCUAGUGCUUCCCUAUGGGGUGCUCCAGUUUUGUUAUUUUAAGGAAAAAGAUGGUAGUAUGAGAAUGUGUAUAGAUUAUCAAAAAUUGAAUUGUAACAACUCGAACUGUCGUUAAUUAGGAAAAACAAAAAUUCAGGAAAUUCUGGGCCACUGUCCCCCCAUGGGUGAUCUAAUUAUGAAUUCUAUCAUGUGAGUAGAUAGAUGAGUCGUUAAGUAACCCGUACGACUUUACGGGAUUGAAUUUGGUUGAGUAGAACUCCCGAAACUGAUCUUGGCGUGAACGGGUAGUUUCAGAGUGUCAUUGGUUGAAGGUGUGUUGUGAAAUGGGGGUAUUGGAAUUAUUAAAUUAGCUCACUAUUCCGUGCAAGACGCUACAGCGGGAAUUUGUGUCGCCAGCGCAGGGCCGCUGCAGCGGGGCAGACGGGACUUAAAGUCAGAAACAAACCCCAAAACGUCUUUUUUAUGCAAUUUUUGAACUUGAGAGCUAAGGAACGAACCCAAGGCCUUUCUUGACAGUUUUCCACCAUUCUUGAGGCUAAAGGUAAGAUUUUCACUCCCCAAAUAUGUUUUUCGAUCCGUAGAACGUAAUCUAAUGGGUAAUUAUCGAUGGAGAAGAGUUUUGAUAUGAGAAUUAUGGUAGAAAAAACCCUAAUUUGGAUAUUGGGAUCAUGGGUUUGAUCUAGUGUUGAUAAGAUUAUUAGUAAUCCGGGUAAUUACUGAUUGUUUAUUGAUUUCCGUGUUAUUUUGAUUAUUUGUAGACCAAGAACAAAUAGAAAGAAUUCGGAAAGGGAAGAAUCAAGUUUCUUAAGGGAUUCAAGCUUUGUUCGAGGUAGGUGAUGGUUGUGAUUCUAUGAUUGUGUGAUGUAUGUUUGUUCUUGCUUCAUUAUGAUACAUGUAUGUAUGCGAAUGUUGCAUUAUUGAUCACAUUAAUUGUAAAUGAGGAUAGAUGAAUGAUGAAUGCCAUGAAUCAUGACUUGAUUGUAUGAUUAUGAGAAUGUACUUUGUGAUUGUGAUUGUGCCUUGUUUAAUGGAUCGGGUGUUGCGUUCCGACACACUAACUUGGAUCGGUUGCCAUGUUCCGGCAUAAAUAUGGGAUCGAUUGCCACGUUCCAGCAUAAAUAUUGGAUCGGAUACCAUGUACCGGUAUGCUAACAGUUUGGGUUUGGGUUCCAUGAGAGGGCUAUUGACUUGACAUAACUGUGUAAUUGGGAAUUAUGAACUUGAUCGCUAUUCGUAAAUGAUAUUGAUAUUGUAUAUGUUCGGUGUAUGCAUGCUAUUAUUAUAUUGUAAUGGCUUAUGUAUGUUGCACUUAGUGGGAUAACCGCGUGAUCCUACCAGUACAUUGUGGUUGUGUAGUGAUACUACUUGCUCUUUCUUUGUUGAGUACAGGACAUCUUCAAGCGGCUAUUGACAGACCCAAUGAUCGUUUCGAAUUCAAGGGUGAGCCAGCUCUUCCGGACUGCAAUGAGUUCUCUUUUUGUUUAUGUCCACAUUUUCGAACUUAGACUAGUUCUUUAGAUUUCUUAUAAUUAGUAUGGGGUUGUACUCCUUCUUGUUUAGACUU